UACCCGCUGAGUUUAAGCAUAUCAAUAAGCGGAGGAAAAGAAAGUA
rnacentral:rRNA from 1 species